rnacentral:rRNA from 1 species
CACGGUCCAGACUCCUACGGGAGGCAGCAGUGGGGAAUAUUGCACAAUGGGCGCAAGCCUGAUGCAGCCAUGCCGCGUGUAUGAAGAAGGCCUUCGGGUUGUAAAGUACUUUCAGCGAGGAGGAAGGCGUUGUGGUUAAUAACCGCAACGAUUGACGUUACUCGCAGAAGAAGCACCGGCUAACUCCGUGCCAGCAGCCGCGGUAAUACGGAGGGUGCAAGCGUUAAUCGGAAUUACUGGGCGUAAAGCGCACGCAGGCGGUCUGUCAAGUCGGAUG